AACGCUAGCUACAGGCUUAACACAUGCAAGUCGAGGGGCAGCAUUUUAGUUUGCUUGCAAACUGAAGAUGGCGACCGGCGCACGGGUGAGUAACACGUAUCCAACCUGCCGAUAACUCCGGAAUAGCCUUUCGAAAGAAAGAUUAAUACCGGAUAGCAUACGAAUAUCGCAUGAUAUUUUUAUUAAAGAAUUUCGGUUAUCGAUGGGGAUGCGUUCCAUUAGUUUGUUGGCGGGGUAACGGCCCACCAAGACUACGAUGGAUAGGGGUUCUGAGAGGAAGGUCCCCCACAUUGGAACUGAGACACGGUCCAAACUCCUACGGGAGGCAGCAGUGAGGAGUAUUGGUCAAUGGGCGAGAGCCUGAACCAGCCAAGUAGCGUGAAGGAUGAAGGCUCUAUGGGUCGUAAACUUCUUUUAUAUGGGAAUAAAGUUUUCCACGUGUGGAAUUUUGUAUGUACCAUAUGAAUAAGGAUCGGCUAACUCCGUGCCAGCAGCCGCGGUAAUACGGAGGAUCCGAGCGUUAUCCGGAUUUAUUGGGUUUAAAGGGAGCGUAGGUGGAUUGUUAAGUCAGUUGUGAAAGUUUGCGGCUCAACCGUAAAAUUGCAGUUGAAACUGGCAGUCUUGAGUACAGUAGAGGUGGGCGGAAUUCGUGGUGUAGCGGUGAAAUGCUUAGAUAUCACGAAGAACUCCGAUUGCGAAGGCAGCUCACUAGACUGUCACUGACACUGAUGCUCGAAAGUGUGGGUAUCAAACAGGAUUAGAUACCCUGGUAGUCCACACAGUAAACGAUGAAUACUCGCUGUUUGCGAUAUACAGUAAGCGGCCAAGCGAAAGCAUUAAGUAUUCCACCUGGGGAGUACGCCGGCAACGGUGAAACUCAAAGGAAUUGACGGGGGCCCGCACAAGCGGAGGAACAUGUGGUUUAAUUCGAUGAUACGCGAGGAACCUUACCCGGGCUUAAAUUGCAACAGAAUAUAUUGGAAACAGUAUAGCCGUAAGGCUGUUGUGAAGGUGCUGCAUGGUUGUCGUCAGCUCGUGCCGUGGGGUGUCGGCUUAAGUGCCAUAACGAGCGCAACCCUUAUCUUUAGUUACUAACAGGUCAUGCUGAGGACUCUAGAGAGACUGCCGUCGUAAGAUGUGAGGAAGGUGGGGAUGACGUCAAAUCAGCACGGCCCUUACGUCCGGGGCUACACACGUGUUACAAUGGGGGGUACAGAAGGCGGCUACCUGGUGACAGGAUGCUAAUCCCAAAAACCUCUCUCAGUUCGGAUCGAAGUCUGCAACCCGACUUCGUGAAGCUGGAUUCGCUAGUAAUCGCGCAUCAGCCAUGGCGCGGUGAAUACGUUCCCGGGCCUUGUACACACCGCCCGUCAAGCCAUGAAAGCCGGGGGUACCUGAAGUACGUAACCGCAAGGAGCGUCCUAGGGUAAAACUGGUAAUUGGGGCUA
rnacentral:rRNA from 1 species